UAAUAAGUGUUUUAUGGCACUUUUAAAAAUCCAUAUCCACCUUGUGUGCAAUGUCAGAAGAAAAGAAGCUGCGAGUCAUGGGAGAACCCAAGUCAUGCUACCUUUAUCUUUUCAAUAACCUCUAUAGUCUAUGUCUGAAGAUAGUUAGAGAAUGACUAAUUCUAAAAU
rnacentral:misc_RNA from 1 species